AAAUUGAAGAGUUUGAUCAUGGCUCAGAUUGAACGCUGGCGGCAGGCCUAACACAUGCAAGUCGAGCGGAAACGAGUUAUCUGAACCUUCGGGGAACGAUAACGGCGUCGAGCGGCGGACGGGUGAGUAAUGCCUAGGAAAUUGCCCUGAUGUGGGGGAUAACCAUUGGAAACGAUGGCUAAUACCGCAUGAUGCCUACGGGCCAAAGAGGGGGACCUUCGGGCCUCUCGCGUCAGGAUAUGCCUAGGUGGGAUUAGCUAGUUGGUGAGGUAAGGGCUCACCAAGGCGACGAUCCCUAGCUGGUCUGAGAGGAUGAUCAGCCACACUGGAACUGAGACACGGUCCAGACUCCUACGGGAGGCAGCAGUGGGGAAUAUUGCACAAUGGGCGCAAGCCUGAUGCAGCCAUGCCGCGUUGUGUGAAGAAGGCCUUCGGGUUGUAAAGCACUUUCAGUCGUGAGGAAGGUAGUGUAGUUAAUAGCUGCAUUAUUUGACGUUAGCGACAGAAGAAGCACCGGCUAACUCCGUGCCAGCAGCCGCGGUAAUACGGAGGGUGCGAGCGUUAAUCGGAAUUACUGGGCGUAAAGCGCAUGCAGGUGGUUUGUUAAGUCAGAUGUGAAAGCCCGGGGCUCAACCUCGGAAUUGCAUUUGAAACUGGCAGACUAGAGUACUGUAGAGGGGGUAGAAUUUCAGGUGUAGCGGUGAAAUGCGUAGAGAUCUGAAGGAAUACCGGUGGCGAAGGCGGCCCCCUGGACAGAUACUGACACUCAGAUGCGAAAGCGUGGGGAGCAAACAGGAUUAGAUACCCUGGUAGUCCACGCCGUAAACGAUGUCUACUUGGAGGUUGUGGCCUUGAGCCGUGGCUUUCGGAGCUAACGCGUUAAGUAGACCGCCUGGGGAGUACGGUCGCAAGAUUAAAACUCAAAUGAAUUGACGGGGGCCCGCACAAGCGGUGGAGCAUGUGGUUUAAUUCGAUGCAACGCGAAGAACCUUACCUACUCUUGACAUCCAGAGAACUUUCCAGAGAUGGAUUGGUGCCUUCGGGAACUCUGAGACAGGUGCUGCAUGGCUGUCGUCAGCUCGUGUUGUGAAAUGUUGGGUUAAGUCCCGCAACGAGCGCAACCCUUAUCCUUGUUUGCCAGCGAGUAAUGUCGGGAACUCCAGGGAGACUGCCGGUGAUAAACCGGAGGAAGGUGGGGACGACGUCAAGUCAUCAUGGCCCUUACGAGUAGGGCUACACACGUGCUACAAUGGCGCAUACAGAGGGCGGCCAACUUGCGAAAGUGAGCGAAUCCCAAAAAGUGCGUCGUAGUCCGGAUUGGAGUCUGCAACUCGACUCCAUGAAGUCGGAAUCGCUAGUAAUCGUGGAUCAGAAUGCCACGGUGAAUACGUUCCCGGGCCUUGUACACACCGCCCGUCACACCAUGGGAGUGGGCUGCAAAAGAAGUAGGUAGUUUAACCUUCGGGGGGACGCUUACCACUUUGUGGUUCAUGACUGGGGUGAAGUCGUAACAAGGUAGCGCUAGGGGAACCUGGCGCUGGAUCACCUCCUUAAACGAUGAU
rnacentral:rRNA from 1 species